GCUGGCACAGUGAUGACAAAUUUUUGCCGUUUACCCAGCUGAGGGUUUUCUUUGAAGAAAUAAUUUUAAGACUGAGGUGCCAGU
ensembl:snoRNA small nucleolar RNA, C/D box 87